GAUGAACGCUGGCGGCGUGCCUAAUACAUGCAAGUCGAGCGAACAGACGAGGAGCUUGCUCCUCUGACGUUAGCGGCGGACGGGUGAGUAACACGUGGAUAACCUACCUAUAAGACUGGGAUAACUUCGGGAAACCGGAGCUCAUACCGGAUAAUAUAUUGAACCGCAUGGUUCAAUAGUGAAAGACGGUUUUGCUGUAACUUAUAGAUGGAUCCGCGCCGCAUUAGCUAGUUGGUAAGGUAACGGCUUACCAAGGCAACGAUGCGUAGCCGACCUGAGAGGGUGAUCGGCCACACUGGAACUGAGACACGGUCCAGACUCCUACGGGAGGCAGCAGUAGGGAAUCUUCCGCAAUGGGCGAAAGCCUGACGGAGCAACGCCGCGUGAGUGAUGAAGGUCUUCGGAUCGUAAAACUCUGUUAUUAGGGAAGAACAAAUGUGUAAGUAACUAUGCACGUCUUGACGGUACCUAAUCAGAAAGCCACGGCUAACUACGUG
rnacentral:rRNA from 1 species